AAUUCUGCAGGUAGUCCGUCUGUUCCGGGGGUUUUAUUAUUUUUUAGUUUAAUAAUUGCCUCUUUUAGUUCGUCCUUAGUAAUCUCUUCAUUUAAUCUUUCCCUUUCUUCUUCUGUUAGUAUUGGAAUAUUUUCUUCCUCUAGGUAUUGUUUAAUUUUCUCUUCACUCAUAUCUUCUUGUUUAUAAAGUUCACUAAAAUAUUCCAUUCAUUUUGUAUUGUUCCC